GCCUUUUCCUUCGCUUACAACGCUCCAUGC
rnacentral:piRNA from 1 species